CGGGUGAGUAAUGCUUGGGAAUAUGCCGAGUGGUGGGGGACAACAGUUGGAAACGACUGCUAAUACCGCAUAAUGUCUACGGACCGAAGGGGGGGCUUCUUCGGAACCUCCCGCCAUUUGAUUAGCCCAAGUGAGAUUAGCUAGUAGGUGAGGUAAUGGCUCACCUAGGCGACGAUCUCUAGCUGGUUUGAGAGGAUGAUCAGCCACACUGGGACUGAGACACGGCCCAG
rnacentral:rRNA from 1 species